rnacentral:sRNA from 1 species
AUUACUUGUUAUUUAUCAUUCUAGAUGAAUUGGGUUUCUGCAGAUUAAUGCUUUAAAAAUGUGUUUCUCUUAAUCAGGUCUACUUUCCCCACUCCCAAACAUUGAUACAUCUUCUCCAAGCAUUGGAUGUGGCCAAUCGGCUAGAAAUGAUUCCUAAAAUUUGGAAAGAUAGUAAAGAAUAUGGUCAUACUUUCCGCAGCGACCUGAGAGAAGAGAUCCUGAAGCUCAUGGCAAGGGACAAGCACCCACCAGAGCUUCAGGUGGCAUUUGCUGACUGUGCUGCUGAUAUCAAA